UAAGCCCUCCCCCAACGCGCUCUUGAUGUUGCAGGCCUGCUCACUUGCUUACUUCACCUGAGACUUCUUGCCCACAAAUUAUCACCCGAAAAAUGACCCAGAGCACACUAGUUCAUUGAUUCUCAUGGCUUCCAUUUCCACUCCCUCUUUCUCUAAGUUCCAUCCACCAUUCAGGAACACUUCAUCACCAACCAGACAUAAAAUUAGAAUCACAAACCUUACCUCCCAAUCCCACAAACAUUCAAUUAGAAACUUACCAUUUGUGCAUAAUUCUCGCGUUUUCAG
rnacentral:misc_RNA from 1 species